CUUAUUGGCUGGAAAGGAAGAAGCAUUCUUUCAUUGGUUGGUGUGUAUUGCCUUGUCAACCAAUAAGAGGAUGCCAUUUAUCCUUUUCUGACUAGCUGAGUGAGCAGGGUG
ensembl:miRNA